UGGACGUACCUCUGGUGUACCAGUUGUCCUGCCAAGGGCAUGGCUGGGUAGCUAUGUACGGAAUGGAUAAGCGCUGAAAGCAUCUAAGCGCGAAGCCAACUUCAAGAUAAGAUUUCCCACCGUAAGGGUAAGACCCCAGAAAGACUAUCUGGUUGAUAGGUCGAAGGUGUAAGUGCAGCAAUGUAUUUAGCUUAUCGAUACUAAUAGGUCGAGGACUUGACCAAU
rnacentral:rRNA from 1 species